CCUACGGGAGGCAGCAGUGAGGAAUAUUGGUCAAUGGACGAGAGGCUGAACCAGCCAAGUCGCGUGAAGGAUGACUGCCCUAUGGGUUGUAAACUUCUUUUAUAUGGGAAUAAAAUGUUCCACGUGUGGGUUUUUGUAUGUACCAUAUGAAUAAGGAUCGGCUAACUCCGUGCCAGCAGCCGCGGUAAUACGGAGGAUCCGAGCGUUAUCCGGAUUUAUUGGGUUUAAAGGGAGCGUAGGUGGGUUGUUAAGUCAGUGGUGAAAGUUUGCGGCUUAACCAUAAAAUUGCAGUUGAAACUGGCAGUCUUGAGUGCAGUAGAGGUAGGCGGAAUGCGUGGUGUAGCGGUGAAAUGCAUAGAUAUCACGAAGAACUCCGAUUGCGAAGGCAGCUGACUGGGCUGCAACUGACACUGAGGCACGAAAGUGUGGGUAUCAAACAGGAUUAGAUACCCCAGUAGUC
rnacentral:rRNA from 1 species